AGAGUUUGAUCCUGGCUCAGAAUCAACGCUGGCGGCGUGCCUCAGACAUGCAAGUCGAACGAUUAAGACUUCCUUCGGGAAGUGCAUAAAGUGGCGCACGGGUGAGUAACACGUAAGUAAUCUACCUUCGAGUGGGGAAUAACGUUCGGAAACGAACGCUAAUACCGCAUAAUGCAGCGGCAUCUAAUGAUGACAGUUGUUAAAGGAGCAAUUCGCUUGAAGAGGAGCUUGCGGCAGAUUAGCUAGUUGGUAAGGUAAUGGCUUACCAAGGCUACGAUCUGUAUCCGGUCUAAGAGGACGGUCGGACACACUGACACUGAAUAACGGGUCAGACUCCUACGGGAGGCAGCAGUCGGGAAUUUUGGGCAAUGGGCGAAAGCCUGACCCAGCAACGCCGCGUGAAGGAUGAAGUAUUUCGGUAUGUAAACUUCGAAAGAAUGGGAAGAACUCAAUGACGGUACCAUUUAUAAGCUCCGGCUAACUACGUGCCAGCAGCCGCGGUAAUACGUAGGGAGCAAGCGUUGUUCGGAUUUACUGGGCGUAAAGGGCGCGUAGGCGGCAAAUCAAGUCAGCUGUGAAAUCUCUGAGCUUAACUCAGAACGGUCAGCUGAUACUGCUUUGCUAGAGUGCGGAAGGGGCAAUCGGAAUUCUUGGUGUAGCGGUGAAAUGCGUAGAUAUCAAGAGGAACACCUGAGGUG
rnacentral:rRNA from 1 species